rnacentral:rRNA from 1 species
UAAGGAAUAUUGCCUAGAUGUGUAGGGGAACAUCAUGUAAACGCAGCCAUGUCCGCGUGCAGGAAGACGGCCCUAUGGGAUUGGAAAUGGCUUUUGUACCAGAGAAAACCCCGAUGCGUGUAUCUGGUUGAUAGUAUGGUAAGAAUAAGCAUCGGCUAACUUCGUGC